AACGAACGCUGGCGGCAGGCUUAACACAUGCAAGUCGAACGCAUCCUUCGGGGUGAGUGGCAGACGGGUGAGUAACGCGUGGGAACGUGCCCUUCAGUCCGGGAUAACCCAGGGAAACUUGGGCUAAUACCGGAUACGUGCGAGAGCAGAAAGAUUUAUCGCUGAAGGAUCAGCCCGCGUCUGAUUAGCUAGUUGGUGGGGUAAUGGCCCACCAAGGCGACGAUCAGUAGCUGGUCUGAGAGGAUGAUCAGCCACAUUGGGACUGAGACACGGCCCAAACUCCUACGGGAGGCAGCAGUGGGGAAUAUUGGACAAUGGGCGCAAGCCUGAUCCAGCCAUGCCGCGUGAGUGAUGAAGGCCUUAGGGUUGUAAAGCUCUUUCGUCCGGGACGAUAAUGACGGUACCGGAAGAAGAAGCCCCGGCUAACUUCGUACCAGCAGCCGCAGUAA
rnacentral:rRNA from 1 species